AUGAACGCUGGCGGCGUGCCUAAUACAUGCAAGUCGAGCGAACGGACGAGAAGCUUGCUUCUCUGAUGUUAGCGGCGGACGGGUGAGUAACACGUGGAUAACCUACCUAUAAGACUGGGAUAACUUCGGGAAACCGGAGCUAAUACCGGAUAAUAUUUUGAACCGCAUGGUUCAAAAGUAAAAGACGGUCUUGCUGUCACUUAUAGAUGGAUCCGCGCUGCAUUAGCUAGUUGGUAAGGUAACGGCUUACCAAGGCAACGAUGCAUAGCCGACCUGAGAGGGUGAUCGGCCACACUGGAACUGAGACACGGUCCAGACUCCUACGGGAGGCAGCAGUAGGGAAUCUUCCGCAAUGGGCGAAAGCCUGACGGAGCAACGCCGCGUGAGUGAUUAAGGUCUUCGGAUCGUAAAACUCUGUUAUUAGGGAAGAACAUAUGUGUAAGUAACUGUGCACAUCUUGACGGUACCUAAUCAGAAAGCCACGGCUAACUACGUG
rnacentral:rRNA from 1 species